UCUAGCAUGUACGCGAGUCAUUGGGAAUGUACGAAACCCAAAGGCGAAAUGAAAGUGAAGGACCGCCCUGCGCGAUCCGAGGCCCGAUGCGUGCCGUCACGACGGCGCGCCGCAAGGCCGCGGCGCCCCGAACUCAUUGCGAGUUGGGGCGCACCCAGAGCGUACAUGCUGGGACCCGAAAGAUGGUGAACUAUGCCUGAUCAGGACGAAGUCAGGGGAAACCCUGAUGGAGGUCCGUAGCGAUUCUGACGUGCAAAUCGAUCGUAAGAAUUGGGUAUAGCGGCGAAAGACUAAUCGAACCAUCUAGUAGCUGGUUCCCUCCGAAGUUUCCCUCAGGAUAGCUGGCACUCGUGAUGUGAGUUUCAUCCGGUAAAGCGAAUGAUUAGAGGCCUUGGGGUCGAAACGACCUCAACCUAUUCUCAAACUUUAAAUGGGUGAGAUCUCCGGCCUGCUUGAGANACAGUGAGGCUGGAGA
rnacentral:rRNA from 1 species